GCCCCGCGCUCGGCUCGGCUCGGCCGCGGACGCGCGCGCGCAGAGGGCGGGCGCAGGCAGCAGGUGGGCGGGGUGCGGCGGGGUGCGUGAGGCGGGGCGGGGGGCUGCCGGCUGCUCUGGGGCCGGCGUGGCGGCCCUGCGUACGGGCGCGCCAUGGACUUCAACAUGAAGAAGCUGGCGUCGGACGCGGGCAUCUUCUUCACUCGGGCGGUGCAGUUCACAGAGGAGAAGUUUGGCCAGGCUGAGAAGACGGAGCUUGACGCCCACUUUGAAAACCUCCUAGCUCGGGCAGACAGCACCAAGAACUGGACAGAGCGGAUCCUGAGGCAGACCGAGGUGCUGCUGCAGCCCAACCCCAGUGCUCGAGUGGAGGAGUUCCUAUAUGAGAAGCUGGACAGAAAGGUGCCCUCGAGAGUCACCAAUGGGGAGCUGCUGGCUCAGUACAUGGCGGAGGCAGCCAGCGAGCUGGGCCCCAGCACUCCCUACGGGAAGACGCUGAUCAAGGUGUCAGAAGCUGAGAAGCGCCUCGGAGCAGCAGAGCGGGAUUUCAUUCACACUGCCUCCCUCAGCUUCCUCACACCCCUGCGGAACUUCCUAGAGGGGGACUGGAAAACGAUUUCGAAGGAGAGGCGGCUCCUGCAGAACCGGCGUCUUGACCUGGAUGCCUGCAAAGCCCGGCUAAAGAAGGCCAAGGCAGCCGAAGCCAAAGCCACGUGUGAGGGCGAUACGGUGCCUGACUUUCAGGAGACUAGACCUCGUAAUUACAUUCUAUCGGCCAGCGCCUCCGCGGUAAGCAACCCUCCUGCCAUUCCUUGCCCCACCCUGGCCUCCUUGGCCCACAGCUCUUGUCACUGGCUCUGCCAGCGCAGAACCAGAAGACAGCAGGUGAGGCAAAGGGUCCUGCUCAUGUUGCAGGUUGCCCUGAGGGGCUGAGGUGCAGCUCAGAACAGGGAAGUGACAACUCCAUGUGGCCCUGUCUGGUCCAGCAGGCAGGCUGGACUGGCUUCUCCCUAGGCAAGGUAGAAGAUAUUUUGACUAGCUGUCCAGAAAAACCCCUUCGUGUCCUUAGGACAGCACAGUACCACCUCUAGGGAACCUGAGGAAAUUUCCAUUCUGCACUUUCUCCCACAAAGUCACAGCACUCCAGCCUCCUUAUGGGUCUGGGGGGACCCUGAGGAAAGAGGGGGGCCGCCUAGGUCUGGCUUCCUGUCUCAGACUCUUGCCUUAGCACCAUGGUAGGUUGCAAACUAGAUGGCCUCGGAAGCUCCUGGAAAGCAGGUGGGAGGUCAGCCUGAGGAGCAGGUCAGAGGUAAGAUGGAGGAAGGCAGGCUAGGCUGGCAGAGUAGACUGGUUGAGUUAGUAGGUGUCUAUUGACUGUGGGGGGUUGGCCAGCCACACCUCUCACCCUAUGCCCUGGGUGAAACUCCCGCACAGGCCAUCUGACCCCUCUGCUCCUCUUCUGAGCAUGCCACUGUGUGAUUUGUGCUGUCAUUCCAUGGCUGGCCAUUGUCUUUGAGAUGUCAAUGCUCUGGCCUGUUAACUAGCCCUCCAACAGGGCACACGACAAUGGUGCUCACUGUGGGCUGUGCAUUCUGCUGGCCCAGUUCAACUGUCCAUGUGUCAGGGUGUUGUCCUAGGCCAGAUUUCCACAAAUGACCAUAAACUGGGUCUCCUAAGUCAUGGUGGGGGGAGGGGGGCUUUUCUUCCCUAGACUCUGGAUGACACUUCCCGCUCCCCUCCCUGGGCCGAGUGGAAGGAGAAACAUCCCGGAGGGUGGAGGCUGCCCUGUUUUUUUCUUUUGCCACUGACCCCAAGUGUGACUCUGGCCCGAGGCUGCCUUCCUCUGCCGGAGGACAGAAAGCUUUGGAACGAUGAAGUCGACAAGGCUGAGCAGGAGCUUCGAGUGGCGCAGACAGAGUUUGACCGGCAGGCAGAAGUGACCCGUCUCCUGCUGGAGGGGAUCAGCAGUACUCAUGUGAACCACCUUCGCUGCCUCCAUGAGUUCGUCAAGUCUCAGACAACCUACUAUGCACAGUGCUACCGCCACAUGCUGGAUCUGCAGAAACAGCUAGGCAGAUUUCCAGGCACCUUCGUGGGCACCACAGAGCCUGCCUCCCCACCCCUGAGCAGCACCUCACCUACCACCACUGCGGCCACCAUGCCUGUGGUACCUACUGGGGCUGUCUUGGCCCCUCCAGAAGAGGCAGCCCUCUGCCUGGAGGAGGUGGCUCCCCCAGCCAGUGGGACUCGAAAGGCCCGGGUGCUCUACGACUACGAGGCAGCUGACAGCAGUGAGCUGGCCCUGCUGGCUGAUGAGCUCAUCACUGUCUACAGCCUGCCAGGCAUGGAUCCCGACUGGCUCAUUGGUGAGAGAGGCAACAAGAAGGGCAAGGUUCCUGUCACCUACCUGGAACUUCUCAGCUAAGCAGCCCCUUCCCAGGCUCUGCCACUUAGAGUCGUCUGCUGGCCACAGAGCUGCUUAGGAUAAGGGACCUAACCCUUUUCUGGCUGUGCCCGUCAUUCAGCUAUUAAAGAGCCCACAAGACAGAAUGGCCCCAGGCCCCUCUGCUAGUCCUGCUUCUGACCUGCAACCCUGCACACCCCAGGCUUCCCAGCUCCCUUAAGGCAGAAGGGUCACUACAUUUGACACCACCAUGGGCCCAGGAUAUGCUGGGGAUGGAUGCUCUUGGCAUGAAAGAACAUCUGCCUUCUGGCUGUGGAAGGUUGAGGGGGACAGCAGCACACAGGCAGGGCUAGGAGUGUGGCAGGAAACCAGAAGGGUCAGCCAGAGCAGCAGCACCAAGUGCUGCCUCCCACUUCCCUCAUGGCUCUGGCUGGGCACAGUGGCUACAGCAGUCAUUCCUUCAGUUUCUAACUAACAUUCUGACCUCUGCCUGUCUGCUUGCUCUCUGGCAAAUAAAUCCUUUGUGUGCGAA